AUUGAACGCUGGCGGCAGGCCUAACACAUGCAAGUCGACCGAGUGGCGGACGGGUGAGUAAUGUCUUGGAAACUGCCCGAUGGAGUGGGAUAACUACUGGAAACGGUAGCUAAUACCGCAUCCCACCGGAUGUGCCCAGAUGGGAUUAGCACGUCGGGGGGGUAACGGCUCACCUAGGCGACGAUCCCUAGCUGGUCUGAGAGGAUGACCAGCCACAAUGGAACUGAGACACGGUCCAGACUCCUACGGGAGGCAGCAGUGGUGAAUAUUGCACAAUGGGCGCAAGCCUGAUGCAGCCAUGCCGCGUGUAUGAAGAAGGCCUUCGGGUUGUAAAGUACUUUCAGCGAGGAGGCGUUACUCGCAGAAGAAGCACCGGCUAACUCCGUGCCAGCAGCCGCGGUAAUUC
rnacentral:rRNA from 1 species